AGGGGUGUGGCUCGGUUGGUAGAGCACUUGCCUAACACGCAUGGAGCCCUGGGUUCUAUCCCUGGCACUACAU
rnacentral:tRNA from 1 species